rnacentral:rRNA from 1 species
GACGAACGCUGGCGGCGCGCCUAACACAUGCAAGUCGAACGAGAGAGAGGAAGCUUGCUUCCUUAAUCGAGUGGCGAACGGGUGAGUAACGCGUGAGGAACCUGCCUCAAAGAGGGGGACAACAGUUGGAAACGACUGUUAAUACCGCAUAAGCGCACAGCACCGCAUGGUGCAGUGUGAAAAACUCCGGUGGAACAGGAUGGUCCCGCGUCUGAUUAGGCAGUUGGCAGGGUAACGGCCUACCAAACCGACGAUCAGUAGCCGGCCUGAGAGGGUGAACGGCCACAUUGGGACUGAGACACGGCCCAA